GUGAACAUAGUUUAUCAAAAAUUCUAGUCUGUGACUCUAGAGAAGAAGACUAACCACCUUCUGUUCACC
rnacentral:tRNA from 1 species